rnacentral:rRNA from 1 species
UACGUAGGGUGCAAGCGUUUAUCCGGAAUUAUUGGGCGUAAAGAGCUCGUAGGCGGCUUGUCACGUCGGGUGUGAAAGCCCGGGGCUUAACCCCGGGUCUGCAUUCGAUACGGGCUGGCUAGAGUGUGGUAGGGGAGAUCGGAAUUCCUGGUGUAGCGGUGAAAUGCGUAGAGAUCGGCAGGAACACCCAGGGGGAAACCAGUCGACUGGGCAUCUACUGACGCUGAGGUGCGAGAGCGUGGGGAGCGAACCGG